rnacentral:rRNA from 1 species
UGGGGAAUUUUGGACGAAUUGGGCGAAAGCCUGAAUCCAGCAAUGCCGCGUGUGUGAAGAAGGCCUUCGGGUUGUAAAGCACUUUUGCCCGGAAAGAAAUCCUUGGCUCUAAUACAGUCGGGGGAUGACGGUACCGGAAGAAUAAGCACCGGCUAACUACGUGCCAGCAGCCGCGGUAAUACGUAGGGUGCAAGCGUUAAUCGGAAUUACUGGGCGUAAAGCGUGCGCAGGCGGUUUGCUAAGACCGAUGUGAAAUCCCCGGGCUCAACCUGGGAACUGCAUUGGUGACUGGCAGGCUAGAGUAUGGCAGAGGGGGGUAGAAUUCCACGUGUAGCAGUGAAAUGCGUAGAGAUGUGGAGGAAUACCGAUGGCGAAGGCAGCCCCCUGGCAAGUACUGACGCUCAUGCACGAAAGCGUGGGGAGCAAACNGGAUUAAUCCCUGGUAGUCCACGCCCU